GCCCUUAGAGUUUGAUCCUGGCUCAAGAGGAACUCUGGCGGCGUGCUUAACACAUGCAAGUCGAGCGAAGCGGCUGAAUUGAUUCUUCGGAUGAUUUUUAGUUGACUGAGCGGCGGACGGGUGAGUAACGCGUGGGUGACCUGCCCCAUACCGGGGGAUAACAGCUGGAAACGGCUGCUAAUACCGCAUAAGCGCACAGAGCUGCGUGGCUCCGUGUGAAAAACUCCGGUGGUAUGGGAUGGGCCCGCGUCUGAUUACGCAGUUGGCGGGGUAACGGCCCACCAAACCGACGAUCAGUAGCCGGCCUGAGAGGGCGACCGGCCACAUUGGGACUGAGACACGGCCCUAACUCCUACGGGAGGCAGCAGUGGGNAAUAUUGCACAAUGGGGGAAACCCUGAUGCAGCGACGCCGCGUGAGCGAAGAAGUAUUUCGGUAUGUAAAGCUCUAUCAGCAGGGAAGAUAAUGACGGUACCUGACUAAGAAGCCCCGGCUAACCACGUGCCAGCAGCCGCGGUAAUACGUAGGGGGCAAGCGUUAUCCGGAUUUACUGGGUGUAAAGGGAGCGUAAACGGCAAGGCAAGUCUGAUGUGAAAACCCAGGGCUUAACCCUGGGACUGCAUUGGAAACUGUCUGGCUCGAGUGCCGGAGAGGUAAGCGGAAUUCCUAGUGUAGCGGUGAAAUGCGUAGAUAUUAGGAAGAACACCAGUGGCGAAGGCGGCUUACUGGACGGUAACUGACGUUGAGGCUCGAAAGCGUGGGGAGCAAACAGGAUUAGAUACCCUGGUAGUCCACGCCGUAA
rnacentral:rRNA from 1 species